rnacentral:rRNA from 1 species
UAAGGAAUAUUGGUCAAUGGACGCAAGUCUGAACCAGUUAUGCCGCGUGGAGGAUGAAGGUUUUCUGGAUUGUAAACUUCUUUUAUCUGGGACGAAACACUUCUUUUCUAAGAGGCCUGACGGUACCAGAUGAAUAAGCACCGGCUAACUCCGUGCCAGCAGCCGCGGUAAUACGGAGGGUGCAAGCGUUAUCCGGAUUCACUGGGUUUAAAGGGUGCGUAGGUGGGUAUGUAAGUCAGUGGUGAAAUCCCCGAGCUUAACUUGGGAACUGCCAUUGAUACUAUAUAUCUUGAAUACCGUAGAGGUAAGCGGAAUAUGUCAUGUAGCGGUGAAAUGCUUAGAUAUGACAUGGAACACCAAUUGCGAAGGCAGCUUACUAUGCGGUGAUUGACACUGAGGCACGAAAGCGUGGGUAGCAAACA